UGGUUCAGAUAUGAAACUCAGACCUUGAGAGUCCUUUUUUUCUUUCUUUUUCUUUUUUUUUUCUUUUUUUUUUCUGAAGGAAAAUGUGAAGACAAACAACUGCCUAGGAUAAGCUUCUUCUUAUCUUCAUCUUGUAAAACUCCUCCAGGAAAGCUAAUUAGAAUAUGUAAGACAGGGGAAAGAAGCACCAGAAAAGGAAAGGAAAAAGAGGCCUUGAAACCCACAGGCAGUCAGAGAGGAAAGUCCUGGCCUUUACAGUUCCUGUCGACAGCUGGAGAAGUCUGGAAAAGGUUUCAGAGUGAAAUCUGUGUCUCAGUGAUUCAUUGCUCCGAGGGGAGGUUUAGCAGCACGGGCAGCUGGGCGGCCCCAGCCUCUCCGUGCCCAGGACAGAGCCGGUGGCCUGGUGGCGGCAGGACAGUGCUCCAGGAUCGUGAUGGCUUUGGAAAAGUUGUGAGUGAAUUAGAAAUGCAAACUGUGUGGAAAGAAAGGACGAGAGAGACGUGGCCUGAAGGCUGUCCCGAGGACUCAUCCUGACAGAUCUGUCUGAUCGCAUCCUGGUUCUUGGGCUCAUUCUUUGCCUGUGCAAGUCCUUGAGCUCGAAGGAGGAUGAACUAUCCACCAUUUUUGGGCAAGGUGCUGUGCCAAAUUCGCAGCCCAGCCCUUGGCCCCAUGUCAGUCACCUUCAAAAGCUCAUCUUUCCCUUUUCCACCUCACUGAGCAUGGGGGACCCAGACAACUUCGUAAACUCGGGAUGUGGCAAAAGCCUUGCUGUAUCUCAGAGUACUGGAAUCUCUGUUUGAAGCUUCAAAAUCUUCCCAAAACUGCCAUGAACACAAAACAGUUCAAGCCCAAAUUUUUGAAGCUAUUUAUGUAUUGAGAGUCAGUAGGAAUUGCCAGAAGUGCUAAACUGUCUCUUAUCCUGAUCUUUUCUUGUUGUUAAAAAAAAAAAAAAAAAAGAGAGAGAGAGAGAGGGAAAAGAGAGAGAGUACAGUUCCUUGUUAUUUUAGGUUUCAACUACAAACUAUUGUCUCUUUGUAAAUUGAGACAAACAGGAAAAAAAUUGCUAUCUCAGUUUAGUUGGGAAUAUAUCAGCUGUGAAAACUCAAGAAAAUCAGACAAGUAGUGCUUGAAUUUCAGGCCUUAAUAAUAGAUAGCUAUUGCAGAUUCUGUAAUAUUACUUUUUUUACUAGUUCUAUCAUCAGACAAAUUUUCUACUUUUUGUGUUACUGAGUUUUUGUUGCAUGGACCAAUAGCAAUCAGAUGAUGGGCCACAAAAUAAUUUUAAGUUCCCAGCUCCUUCAAAUUGGUGUGCCUGGUCUCAGAUAUUCACACAUGGAAGUCAGCAGACAGGGUAAGAAAUGAAUGAAAAAACAUUCACAACAUAACCUAAUUGUGUGGUUGCAAAUAUGAACUGUCACAGCUGAUGGUAGAAUUUUUGGAAAGGUCGAGGAGUCCAUGGAUUGUUACAAAAAGCUCACAAGAUUUUUUGAUGAUAAAUGGUAGAGAAGCACUUCCCUAUGCUUCAAGCGCUUCUGAU
rnacentral:lncRNA from 1 species